rnacentral:rRNA from 1 species
UACGUAGGUGACAAGCGUUGUCCGGAUUUACUGGGCGUAAAGAGCGCGCAGGCGGUCGAUCAAGUCGAGUGUGAAAGCCCCCGGCUCAACUGGGGAGGGUCAUUCGAUACUGAUCGACUCGAAGGCAGGAGAGGGUAGUGGAAUUCCCGGUGUAGUGGUGAAAUGCGUAGAUAUCGGGAGGAACACCAGUGGCGAAGGCGGCAUCCUGGACUGGUCCUGACACUCAGGAGCGAAAGCGUGGGGAGCGAUCCGG